rnacentral:ncRNA from 1 species
CAGGACGGUGGCCAUGGAAGUCGGUACCCGCUAAGGAGUGUGUAACAACUCACCUGCCGAAUCAACUAGCCCUGAAAAUGGAUGGCGCUUGAGCGAAAGACCUAUACCCGGCCGUUACUGGCUUGUGCGAUGGCUAACGCCUGGCCGUAACGAGUAGGAGGGUCGUGGUGGUUGCGUUGAAGGCUUAGGGCGUAGGCCCGGCUGGAGCUUCCAUCAGUGCAGAUCUCGGUGGUAGUAGCAAAUAUUUAAGUUCGAUCCUUGAAGACUGAAGUGGGGAAGGGUUCCACGUGAACAGUAGUUGAAUGUGGGUCAGUCGAUCCUAAGAUACUGGCUUAUGCCUUGUAUCAUCGAGAGGGAGAAGUUUCUUCUCUCUCGGAUAUCGAAAGGGAAUAGAGUUAAUAUUCUCUAACGCAGUACAUAGAGAUUGUGGCUCUUUGAGUUGCUUGCGCGGUAACGCAUUCGAACUCGGUAACGUCGCUUAGAGACCGAGCUAGAGUUUUCUUCUCUAGUUAAGGAACGGACUCCCUGGAAUCGGUUCAUCCGGAGAUAGGGACGUUGUUUCCGUAAAGCACCGCGGUUUCUGUGGUGUCUCGUGCUCUCUGAACGGCCCUUGAAAAACCGAGGGAGGCUAUUAAUCUAUGCUGCAUCGUACCGAUAUCCGCAUCAGGUCCUCAAGGUGAACAGCCUCUAGUCGAUAGAAUAAUGUAGGUAAGGGAAGUCGGCAAAUUAGAUCCGUAACUUCGGGAAAAGGAUUGGCUCCAGUGAUCGGGUCGGUUGGUCCUGUUCACUGAUACUUGUAUGGUUUCGUUCGUGGCUGGCUGAUGCUAACGCUGAUGUCGGACUAGUGAUGAGACAGUCUUGUGGACGUUUAUAGGUGUGUGCUUUGCUUUCGAGCUUAGUAUCCUGACCGGCCAUUAAAACGGUCGAACUGGAACUGGUACGGACUCGGGGAAUCCGACUGUCUAAUUAAAACAGAGGAGACAGAUGGUCCUUGCGGACGUUUACUGUCUCUGAUUUCUGCCCAGUGCUCUGUAAUGUUAAAUCGUAGUAAUUCGAGUAAGCGCGGGUAAACGGCGGGAGUAACGUAUGACUCU